rnacentral:rRNA from 1 species
CAGCAGCCACGGUAAUACGGAUGGUGCAAGCGUUAUCCGGAUUUAUUGGGUUUAAAGGGUCCGUAGGCGGACUUAUAAGUCAGUGGUGAAAGCCUGUCGCUUAACGAUAGAACUGCCAUUGAUACUGUAAGUCUUGAGUAUAUUUGAGGUAGCUGGAAUAAGUAGUGUAGCGGUGAAAUGCAUAGAUAUUACUUAGAACACCAAUUGCGAAGGCAGGUUACCAAGAUAUAACUGACGCUGAGGGACGAAAGCGUGGGUAGCGAACAGGAUUAGAGACCCCGGUAGUCCCUGUCUCUUAUAC